UGGGGAAUUGUUCGCAAUGGGCGCAAGCCUGACGACGCAACGCCGCGUGGAGGAUGAAGAUCUUCGGGUCGUAAACUCCUUUCGAUCGAGACGAAUUCCUCGGGGGUGAACAAUCUCCGAGGUUGACGGUACCGAGAGAAGAAGCCCCGGCUAACUCCGUGCCAGCAGCCGCGGUAAUACGGGGGGGGCAAGCGUUGUUCGGAAUUACUGGGCGUAAAGGGCUCGUAGGCGGCCAACUCAGUCGAACGUGAAAUCCCUCGGCUUAACCGGGGAACUGCGUCCGAGACUGGAUGGCUCGAGUGUGGGAGAGGGAUGCGGAAUUCCAGGUGUAGCGGUGAAAUGCGUAGAUAUCUGGAGGAACACCGGUGGCGAAGGCGGCAUCCUGGACUACUACUGACGCUGAGGAGCGAAAGCCAGGGGAGCAAAC
rnacentral:rRNA from 1 species